CUACUAAUCCCUCCGUCCGAAAAUACUUGUCAUUGAAAUGGAUAUAUCUAGAUGUAUUUUAGUUCUAGACACAUCCAUUUUGAUGACAAGUGAUUCCGGACGGAGGGAGUAUUAU
rnacentral:pre_miRNA from 1 species